ACCCCAUGUUUUGGACAUUUCCUGAUGAUGUCCUUAUAUCUCUCUCAUGCUUCAUAGAGAUUUUCUCCAUAAAAUAUUCUGAAAUUAGAUAGUUCUGCUCUAACAUC